GACGAACGCUGGCGGCGUGCUUAACACAUGCAAGUCGAACGGAAAGGCCCUGCUUUUGUGGGGUGCUCGAGUGGCGAACGGGUGAGUAACACGUGAGUAACCUGCCCUUGACUUUGGGAUAACUUCAGGAAACUGGGGCUAAUACCGGAUAGGAGCUCCUGCUGCAUGGUGGGGGUUGGAAAGUUUCGGCGGUUGGGGAUGGACUCGCGGCUUAUCAGCUUGUUGGUGGGGUAGUGGCUUACCAAGGCUUUGACGGGUAGCCGGCCUGAGAGGGUGACCGGCGACAUUGGGACUGAGAGACGGACCAGACUCAUACGGGAGGCAGCAGGGGGGAAUAUUGCAAAAUGGGCGGAAGCCUGAUGCAGCAACGCCGCGUGCGGGAUGACGGCCUUCGGGUUGUAAACCGCUUUCGCCUGUGACGAAGCGUGAGUGACGGUAAUGGGUAAAGAAGCACCGGCUAACUACGUG
rnacentral:rRNA from 1 species